rnacentral:lncRNA from 1 species
GUGGAUUUAUCAUAUGAAAGGUAAUAAAUAAUUCUUAUACAAAUUUAGUACUUAAAUUACAUUCUAUAUUAUAAAAAUAAAAAAUAUUGGAUAAAAGGUUUGUACAUAUUGUAUUAUCUUACAAAAGAAUCUUUGAAAAGCUAUAAAAUCUUUGUAAGAGUAAAUCAACAACGUUAUAAAUUCUCCACGUUUUGUGAUCUUCAUUUGCAGUAGAUUUCUUGGCAGACUCUUUCUCUUGGUAUUACCCUGCAUCAAUGAUGAAAGAAAAUAUUUCCUAGCCUAUUGCUAGUAAAGUCAGCAAAAGACAAGGAACCAAAUAUGACUAAAGCAACCUCUUAAACCUUGCCUGAGAAUUUUCCUUAACUGGACUGAACUAACAAAUCCCAAAUCAUCUAGUUUUGAUCUGUUGAAUUUCCUUGAAUUCCAAGAUUGGAAGUAUAACUAAUUUCUAUACGUUCAAAGACCUGAGAGCCUGUAAUCAGGGCAGAUGACAAAGAAUCAUAAGGACAAAUAUGAAUCUUAUUAUCCCAAGUAAUUGUAAUUUUUAGCAUUUAGGCAAACUAGCUUCUAAUAUGCUUGUAAAAAAUAGGAAGAAGGGCUAAACUUUGAACUGGAUAUACACAAUACUAACUACUAACAGCCUUCAUAUCUCAAUAUGUUGUAAGCACGAAGUAUCAUUCUGUAUGAAUUCUCUUGGAAUCACCCAAAACUUGGACAUGAUUUACAUAUGAUUCAAGAGUGUAAUGACUGGAAAAUAAAACUCUACCUGGUCUGGUAGAAAUACUGAAAGACAUACCAUGAUGAAUUGUUGAUUCCCAAAAAGAGGCUUGCAUAACAGAGUUCAGCCCGAACUAGUUCCAUUAUCCAUAUUAUUUGAUGAGUUUGGCCCAACUACACUCAUUGAAAUUCCUUAGAUGAGAAAAGAGAUGUGAAUAGCUCUUGAAUUGACAUAAUUAUUGGAAAAUCUAGGUGCAACAAUCAUACUAGAAAAUGCCAAAGUUGCAUUAUUAGAGGGACUACAUGGAUGCUCAUAAGGACAGCAUUCAUCUAAGUUUGAAAAUACUAAGGAAUGUAGUUACAAAAUAGAGACAGGGAAAGAGCAUAAAUGCAAGCAUGCCCAUGAAUUACAGCGAAAAGCCAAUUCAAAUAAACUAAAAUUAAUAGAAACCAAAUGAAAUAAGUUCAAUGAACUAGGUAUGAAAGAGCUUACUAAUAUAAAAUGCAUCUCUAAUUUUUCUGCCUAAACUUUUUUCUAUCAUCUAUAUUCUUGAAAGUUCACAUGGCAUGUUGCUAACGCAUGCUCCAUAGCGUUCUAAAGAUUCACAUAGAGGUAACUUAUGUGAGAAGCAUGGUAUUAAAUAAAUCAAGCAGGAUAAAAACAUAGAGAAACUAUGAAGCUACCAUGAGCUGUAGAAAUGAAAAAUGACCUUCUGGCCGACCAUUCCAAUUUGGCACAUGCACAACGCAAAGUGAAGUUGGCAGUGUCAGUGUAUCUCCUCUUCCUGAAAAAUAAGCAGAUGAAAUUAUACAAAAUCAAUUGAGGUCAAAAACUUAUUGCUCAAUCAAGAGAUGCCCAAGCAAACUAGUGUUGCAAAGAAAUAAAGAAUGAAACCGCAGAGGCGGUCAUCUGACUGAAGUUUUUUCCUUAGUAGAUAUCAAUUAAAAAGGUAAAAAGGCAAAAUGGGAACUAAGCUACAGAUUUAUUUGUUAGCUCUGUUUCCUAUAUAUAGACAUGUCAAACCUAAAGCACAUAAAUUAUAUACUUUACAUAUAUAUAUAUAUAUAUAUUAUAUAAUGGAAGAAAAAAGAGAGCAAAAUUAUAAUAUACUAUGAACCUAAAGCAAAAUCAUGGUUUAGCAGACCUUGGAGGUGAUCCAAAGAUCUUCACACACUUCAACACACCAUCUUCCAACAGCUUCUUCAGAACACAACCAAUCCGCAUAAACCAAGUUAUUGAAAAUGAAUCAAUCAUCAAAAUUAGGGCAUCAAAUUGGGUAUGUGCAACUUUAAUACUAAUUUAAGAUGAAAUAGAACUGAACUUCAGUCACUGAAAGUGAAAAAACAAAUAAAUUAUAAAUUUAAUUCGUUUCAUGCAAUUACCUCUUUCUUGUUCUCAUAGACUUGAGCACAAUCAGUAUGCCGGUAUCCAUCCUGCAUGAAAACAGAGCAAUUGUUACACAAACGACGGUGACAGUAACAAAUGGCCGUGAGAUGACAAUCGUGGGAGUGAAAAGUGAAAAUUAGAGUUUGAUUUUCAACAAUUAGGGGAAAAUGAAAAGAUAAAAUCUUAUUUAAGAAAGAGAUUUUGAUUUUGAAAGAGUAAAAACAUGAAUUUUACAAUUCUGGAAAACGAAAAAAAGCCAAAGAGAAGAGAGAGGUAGAAAAAAAAAUUAUAUGAGAAAGACAGGAGGGAAAGGCUAAAAGUGCCCUUAAAACAUUGAUCUUUAGCGGCGGCUUCAUUUUGGUCACGAAAAAACAAAAUAAAAUAGGAUAGUUAUGGCGGUACUUCAAACCCUGAAGAAAAAAAUGUUCUUAAAAAUACAUUAUUUUGUAGUGCUUACGAGAUUAGGUUUGAAAGAGGCACAAAAUUGGGCUUCAAACCCUUAAUUUUUUAGCCGACGAGAAGUUAUGGGAUUUUAGAGAAAGAAGGGAGAGAGUCUUGGGUUUUUACUUUAAACCGACUGAAGAGGACUGAUGAAGUGACGAGAACAUCAAGAGAUUUUAAAAUAAUGAAGUGACAAGUAAAUGUUAAAUAAAAAGAGACAAAUGAUAUUAUUUGUAAAGGCGAACAUGCUUUUGUCCCUAGAAUUUACAUUUUAGAGGCAAAAUUUUUAUUUGUCUCUAAGAAUACAAUGUGUUGCAGUGAGGAUUACAAAUCAAAAAGAUCAGUUUGAGCCUAAGUUUUUUUUUCUAUUUACAGAACUUAAGAGUAUCACUAUCACUCCUCUUUACUCGAAUUUUGUAGUGUGCCCCUUCCUCCUUGGAAAUAAUGACAAUAUCACCAUUACGAAGACCCUUACUUCGGACAAAUUGGAUCCAACCGGAAACAAGAACCAGUUUUGGGAUAACCCCAGGUUGUAUUUUGCAACCAAAGUUCCUUAAGAUUCCAGCAUCAUCCUCAAUCUGCAACACCAUCACAUGGCACCCUUGCGACCGAGGUAAAGCAGCUUCGCAGCCAAUUGGAAAUGAUAAUCUUCUCUCAAUGUCAGUGGGUGCGAGAACUUUUGAAAAAAUUUGCAUACCUGAAUUUGAUUUCUUUGAGCUGCUGUACCGGCCAAUUUUUACUUACAGAUUAGCGAGAGAAGAUGAGAAUUGAGCACAAACAUAUAGAGGAAGAAAAGCCUUGGAAGUUUGAAGCGCCAGCUCUGUCGAUAUCGUGAGAAUGAGACUUUGGAUGUGUCUCUUUUUUUUUAAUCUUUUCACGGAAGGUGUAUUGGUGGGCCUAUGAAAGGAAAAAUGAACUAAAGAUCCAGAGAGUACAAAAGUUUUC